GAUGAACGCUGGCGGCGUGCCUAAUACAUGCAAGUCGAGCGAACGGACGAGAAGCUUGCUUCUCUGAUGUUAGCGGCGGACGGGUGAGUAACACGUGGAUAACCUACCUAUAAGACUGGGAUAACUUCGGGAAACCGGAGCUAAUACCGGAUAAUAUUUUGAACCGCAUGGUUCAAAAGUGAAAGACGGUCUUGCUGUCACUUAUAGAUGGAUCCGCGCUGCAUUAGCUAGUUGGUAAGGUAACGGCUUACCAAGGCAACGAUGCAUAGCCGACCUGAGAGGGUGAUCGGCCACACUGGAACUGAGACACGGUCCAGACUCCUACGGGAGGUAGCAGUAGGGAAUCUUCCGCAAUGGGCGAAAGCCUGACGGAGCAACGCCGCGUGAGUGAUGAAGGUCUUCGGAUCGUAAAACUCCGUUAUUAGGGAAGAACAUAUGUGUAAGUAACUGUGCACAUCUUGACGGUACCUAAUCAGAAAGCCACGGCGAACUACGU
rnacentral:rRNA from 1 species